rnacentral:rRNA from 1 species
GUGCCAGCAGCAGCGGUAAUACGUAGGUGGCAAGCGUUGUCCGGAUUUAUUGGGCGUAAAGCGAGCGCAGGCGGUUUCUUAAGUCUGAUGUGAAAGCCCCCGGCUCAACCGGGGAGGGUCAUUGGAAACUGGGAAACUUGAGUGCAGAAGAGGAGAGUGGAAUUCCAUGUGUAGCGGUGAAAUGCGUAGAUAUAUGGAGGAACACCAGUGGCGAAGGCGGCUCUCUGGUCCGUAACUGACGCUGAGCUCGAAAGCGUGGGAGCAAACAGGAUUAGAUACCC